UACGGAGGAUGCAAGCGUUAUCCGGAUUUAUUGGGUUUAAAGGGUGCGCAGGUUGUUUGAUAAGUCAGUGGUGAAAGUCUGUCGCUUAACGGUAGGAUUGCCAUUGAUACUGUUAGACUUGAAUAUGGAUGAGGUAGGCGGAAUGUGUAGUGUAGCGGUGAAAUGCAUAGAUAUCACGAGGAACUCCGAUUGCGCAGGCAGCUUACUAAACCAUAACUGACGCUCAGGCACGAAGGCGUGGGGAUCAAACA
rnacentral:rRNA from 1 species